rnacentral:lncRNA from 1 species
GCAACAUACACUUGAAACAAAUAGCCAAACCGAAAACUGCAGACAAAAAUGCUUUCUGCCACUAAGAUCAGUGAAAUGUACGCUAAACUGACAAAGGAGUGGAGAGCAGAAACGACAACUAGCAAUCAAGUCGCAGCAAUGAAGAACGCGAAGGGGGGGAUUCUGGCAGAGGGGAGAUUUUCAGCACAACACCUGUGCCGAAGCAAAUGCUACGUACGUUUUACAGGUCAUCAACGGGAGCCAUGCUUUUACUCUUCGGUUUGCUCAGCGCGUGAUGAGGAGAGUCACUAAAAGAGAGACAACCGGCAGAAUUGUGUCCAGACUUGUCUUCCACCUACACCUCACCAGAACACAACGCAGAAAGUUAAAGUUUCCCGAUGCAGAUAUGGUCAGACCAAGUUAUGAGUAAUUUUUAGUGUCUUCAAUUAUGGUGUUGUUCAGGGUGAAUUUCUAUUUGUUUCUUUUUUUAAAUUUACUGCCAGGGCCCAAUUAUGGAAAUUUGCUCUAGAAUGUUAAGGUUCUGUUGAAGACCAUUGGUUGGUGAUAGAAUAACCAAAUCCUCAGCAUAUAGCAGGUAUUUUACCUCCGUGUCAAAUAGUGAGUCCUGGGGCUGGAGAAGGUUCUAACAUGUCUGCUAAUUCAUUGAUAUAAAUGUUGAAAAGAUUUGGACUCAAACUGCAGCCUUGUCUCUCACCUUGACGUUGUGAAAAUAAUUAUGUUCUUUGGUUUUUGAUUAAAAUGCAAAUCAAUUUAUAACAUUUUUGACAUGCGUUUUUCUGGAUUUGUUUGUUGUUAUUCUGUCUCUCACUGUUCAAAUAAACCUACCAU